GAUGAACGCGGCGGCGUGCUUAAUACAUGCAAGUCGAACGGAGACAUUAGCAAUAAUGUUUAGUGGCGAACGGGUGAGUAACGCGUUGGUGACCUGCCCCGAAGAGAGGGAUAACAGUUCGAAAGGAUUGCUAAUACCCCAUGUGGUUGUUUGGAUUAGAUGCCUUACAACUAAACGGAUUUAUUCGCUUCGGGAGGGACCUGCGUCCCAUCAGCUAGUUGGUAGGGUAACGGCCUACCAAGGCUAUGACGGGUAGGGGACCUGAGAGGGUGGCCCCCCACAAUGGAACUGAAACACGGUCCAUACACCUACGGGUGGCAGCAGUAGGGAAUAUUGGUUAAUCUGCGAAAGCGGGAACCAGCAACGCCGCGUGCACGAUGAAGGCCUUCGGGUUGUAAAGUGCUUUUUGAGAGGAUGAGGAAGGACAGUACUCUUAGAAUAAGCUUCGGCUAACUACGUGCCAGCAGCCGCGGUAAAACGUAGGAAGCGAGCGUUAUCCGGAUUUACUGGGCGUAAAGCGUGUGUAGGCGGUUUGACAAGUUGGAUGUGAAAGCUCCUGGCUUAACUGGGAGAGGUCGUUCAAAACUGUCAGACUCGAGAGUGGUAGAGGGAGGUGGAAUUCCGGGUGUAGUGGUGAAAUGCGUAGAUAUCCGGAGGAACACCAGUGGCGAAAGCGGCCUCCUGGCCCAUUUCUGACGCUCAGACACGAAAGCUAAGGUAGCAAACGGGAUUAGAGACCCCGGUAGUCUUAGCUGUAAACGAUGUGAACUUAGUGUCGGUGGGUUUAAAUCCAUCGGUACUGAAGCU
rnacentral:rRNA from 1 species